rnacentral:misc_RNA from 1 species
GAUGAAGAACGCAGCGAAAUGCGAUAAGUAAUGUGAAUUGCAGAAUUCAGUGAAUCAUCGAAUCUUUGAACGCACAUUGCGCCCCUUGGUAUUCCGAGGGGCAUGCCUGUUCGAGCGUCAUUAUAACCCUCAAGCUCAGCUUGGUGUUGGGGCCUGCUGCACUGGCAGCCCUUAAAAUCAGUGGCGGCGCCAUCUGGCUCUAAGCGUAGUAAUUCUUCUCGCUAUGGAGUCCUGGUGGAUGCUUGCCAUCAACCCCCAAUUUUUCUAUGGUUGACCUCGGAUCAGGUAGGGAUACCCGCUGAACUUAAGCAUAUCAAUAAGCGUAGGA